UCAGCGCGCCAAUAUGGCGUCACAUCUUGUAAAAGCUCUAUUUUUUUUUAUUUGAUCUCUUACCUACUCAGGGGUAUAAAAGACCAGGUACCGCCAUUCGAAUGCAUCAGUUGAAUCUUAUUCGUCUAUUCCGGAUUUACCAUGAAGUUCUUCGCAGUUAUUAUCGUAUUUGUGCUCAGUUUGCUGGCUAUUGGCAACGCUUACCCCUUGUCCCCUUGCAUUAUGAAUAAAGGCGGAAGUGAUAAAGGCGGACAAGGUGAAGAUUACUCCUAUGACGGGGAUGAAUGAUUCAGAUGGUGAUGCUGAUCAAGAAUAUAUGUACUGUGUGGGGUCUCCUUUACUCCUUUGACAACUUUCGACUGAAAUUAUAAUAUCAUAGAAAUACAUGGAAUAUAUGGAAUGUAUGUUGUAUUUAUAUUUCCUGUGUACAUUCAUUUUGCAGUGUUUUGUUUGGAUUUAAUAAAAAAAAAAUGUUGAUUUAUUUA